GACGUAGGAUGCAAGCGUUGUUCGGAAUUAUUGGGCGUAAAGCGUACGUAGGCGGUUCGGUAAGUGGGGAGGUUAAAAGACCAGAGCUCAACUCUGGGAGUGCCCCCCCAAACUGUCGGACUUGAGGCUCAUAGGGGAAGGUGGAAUUCCGAGUGUAGCGGUGAAAUGCGUAGAUAUUCGGAGGAACACCGGGUGGCGAAAGCGACCUUCUGGGUGAGUCCUGACGCUGAGGUACGGAAAGCGUGGGG
rnacentral:rRNA from 1 species